UACGUAGGGUGCGAGCGUUAAUCGGAAUUACUGGGCGUAAAGCGUGCGCAGGCGAUUUUGUAAGCCAGAUGUGAAAUCCCCGGGCUUAACCUGGGAAUGGCAUUUGGGACUGCAAGGCUUGAGUUUGGCAGAGGAGACUGGAAUUCCUGGUGUAGCAGUGAAAUGCGUAGAUAUCAGGAGGAAUACCGAUGGCGAAGGCAGGUCUCUGGGCUAGAACUGACGCUCAUGCACGAAAGCGUGGGGAGCAAACAGG
rnacentral:rRNA from 1 species